rnacentral:tRNA from 1 species
GGGGCAAUGGCGCUGGGCGCUCCGCGGGCUGCAAACCCGUUGGCUGACCUUAAAGCGGUUGGUGGAGGGUUCGAAUCCCCCUUGCCCCC